rnacentral:rRNA from 1 species
UACGUAGGUGGCGAGCGUUAUCCAGAAUUAUUGGGCGUAAAGAGCGCGCAGGUGGUUGAUUAAGUCUGAUGUGAAAGCCCACGGCUUAACCGUGGAGGGUCAUUGGAAACUGGUCGACUUGAGUGCAGAAGAGGGAAGUGGAAUUCCAUGUGUAGCGGUGAAAUGCGUAGAGAUAUGGAGGAACACCAGUGGCGAAGGCGGCUUCCUGGUCUGUAACUGGCACUGAGGCGCGAAAGCGUGGGGAGCAAACAGGAUUACGAUA